rnacentral:rRNA from 1 species
UACGGAGGGUGCAAGCAUUGAUCGGAAUUACUGGGCGUAAAGGGCGCGUAGGCGGCGAGAAAAGUCAGAUGUGAAAUUCCGGGGCUCAACCCCGGAGCUGCAUUUGAAACUUUCUAGCUAGAGUGCAGUUAGGGUAAACGGAAUUCCACGUGUAGCGGUGAAAUGCGUAGAUAUGUGGAAGAACACCGGUGGUGAAGACGGUUUACUGGGCUGUAACUGACGCUGAGGCGCGAAAGCAUGGGGAG